rnacentral:rRNA from 1 species
AGCGGCAGACGGGUGCGUAACAUGUGGGAAUCUGCCUUUUGGUUCGGAACAACACGGGGAAACCUGUGCUAAUACCGGAUAAGUCCUUACGGAGAAAGUUUUAAUGCCAAAAGAUGAGCCCGCAUUUGAUUAGCUAGUUGGUGAGGUAAAAGCUCACCAAGGCGAUAAUCAGUAGCUGAUUUGAGAGAAUGAUCAGCCACACUGGGACUGAGACACGGCCCAGACUCCUACGGGAGGCAGCAGUGGGGAAUAUUGGACAAUGGGCGGAAGCCUGAUCCAGCCAUGCCGCGUGUGUGAAGAAGGCCUUUUGGUUGUAAAGCACUUUAAGCGAGGAGGAGGCUACUCUAGUUAAUACCUAGAGAUAGUGGACGUUACUCGCAGAAUAAGCACCGGCUAACUCUGUGCCAGCAGCCGCGGUAAUACAGAGGGUGCGAGCGUUAAUCGGAUUUACUGGGCGUAAAGCGUGCGUAGGCGGCUGAUUAAGUCGGAUGUGAAAUCCCUGAGCUUAACUUAGGAAUUGCAUUCGAUACUGGUCAGCUAGAGUAUGGGAGAGGAUGGUAGAAUUCCAGGUGUAGCGGUGAAAUGCGUAGAGAUCUGGAGGAAUACCGAUGGCGAAGGCAGCCAUCUGGCCUAAUACUGACGCUGAGGUACGAAAGCAUGGGGAGCAAACAGGAUUAGAUACCCUGGUAGUCCAUGCCGUAAACGAUGUCUACUAGCCGUUGGGGCCUUUGAGGCUUUAGUGGCGCAGCUAACGCGAUAAGUAGACCGCCUGGGAGUACGGUCGCAGACUAAACUCAAAUGAAUUGACGGGGCCGCACAAGCGUGAGCAUGUG